rnacentral:rRNA from 1 species
UGCUGUCACUUAUAGAUGGAUCCGCGCUGCAUUAGCUAGUUGGUAAGGUAACGGCUUACCAAGGCAACGAUGCAUAGCCGACCUGAGAGGGUGAUCGGCCACACUGGAACUGAGACACGGUCCAGACUCCUACGGGAGGCAGCAGUAGGGAAUCUUCCGCAAUGGGCGAAAGCCUGACGGAGCAACGCCGCGUGAGUGAUGAAGGUCUUCGGAUCGUAAAACUCUGUUAUUAGGGAAGAACAUAUGUGUAAGUAACUGUGCACAUCUUGACGGUACCUAAUCAGAAAGCCACGGCUAACUACGUGCCAGCAGCCGCGGUAAUACGUAGGUGGCAAGCGUUAUCCGGAAUUAUUGGGCGUAAAGCGCGCGUAGGCGGUUUUUUAAGUCUGAUGUGAAAGCCCACGGCUCAACCGUGGAGGGUCAUUGGAAACUGGAAAACUUGAGUGCAGAAGAGGAAAGUGGAAUUCCAUGUGUAGCGGUGAAAUGCGCAGAGAU